rnacentral:rRNA from 1 species
AUACGUAGGUGGCAAGCGUUAUCCGGAUUUACUGGGUGUAAAGGGCGCGUAGGCGGGGGUGCAAGUCAGAUGUGAAAUCUAUGGGCUUAACUCAUAAACUGCAUUUGAAACUGUAUCUCUUGAGUGCUGGAGAGGUAGACGGAAUUCCUUGUGUAGCGGUGAAAUGCGUAGAUAUAAGGAAGAACUCCAGUGGCGAAGGCGGUCUACUGGACAGUAACGGGCGCUGAGGCGCGAAAGCGUGGGGAGCAAAGUAGAUUAGAUACCCUAGUAGUCCACUCGAGAAACGAUGAAUACUAGGUGUGUGGGGACUGACCCCCUCCGUGCCUCAGUUAACACAGUAAGUAUUCCACCUGGGGAGUACGGCCUUAAGGUGGAAGCUCAAAGGUAUUGACGGGG